CCACAGAAUAGGGCAAUAAUGGCUCAGGCCCUGUUCCUUAUAGUAACAGUAUUAAUUUUGGCAGCAAAUUUCAAUUUAAUUUUAGGACACAACUAAAAUCUGAUAGUUUAGUUAAAGCCUCUAUCGUUAUCUUUUGCCCCUUCCACAGACUGUCUCUGUGUCCUCCCAGCCGCUCUAGGUGUCUCUCUCCCAAUCCCUGGUUUGUCUCUUUUGCCCCUUCCACAGCCACUCAGUUAUUUAUUAUUUUUGGCGGCAAAUGUCAAUUUAGUGUUAAUCAUAGACUUGUGACUAAAAAGCC